CUCAGAGUGGCCCCACAACCAUUGGUCCUACUGCUUUUGCUAAAGAUCCCCAAGACUACAGACAGUCACACAUGGGAGUUGCCAAGUCGAUACCACGUGGGGCAAUUUCUCAGGUAGCAGAAAACUUACACUGUGUGCUUUUUCUUCUAAGGCAACUGUGAAAUAAUGGGGCUAUAACAAAAAUUUAUAGGGUCACUGUUUUUACUUUGCCUCCAGUUUUCUCCUUAAGAAAUAGAAGGAGAUUGCAGUUUUGGUUACACACACUCAUCACUAAAUUGUUGUAUUUUCUUCUCAGUCCCGUGAAGGCAUCUCAUAUACUUUCACCAGGAUGGAUGAUGUUGGCAUAGCACCACAAAGCACAACUUCCUCCUCUGAGAUGUAAAUGCACGAGGAAGGCCAGCAAACAGGCUUCUUCACGCGGUGGUGAGAUGUGCCCUACAGCAAGAGCAGCAACCCCAAGAUAGUGCACUCGUCAAGCAUCUGCUCAUGUCCCAUUGGUCAAACAAGCCAAGUGGCCAUGCCCAGCAACAGCAUGCAGAGGGCCCACAGGCUCAGAAGCUUGCCAGCAUGCAGGCUGAUCAAUCUCACUGUUUUUUUCAACAAAAUCUCAUUGUUUCUGAAUUGUCUUUAUAGUAACCUAUGAGAAAUAGGAACGGCUGACUGGGAGAGCCUCACCAAGUGUCCUGCUGACAAGUCUUCUCAAGCUCCAGAUUGUGGGGGCCAGCCGGCUUGCCCAGGGCUGUCCCAGUUCCAGCAUCCAAAGAAACCCCUCGGUCUUGGGCAGACUGAGAUAGCUGGUCACCCUAGAAUCCCCCAUGAGAUCUGAGACACUGCCACCCAUUUCACAGUUGAGGCGGUCAUGAUUGGGAGCUCACGGCAGCUCCUGGAGGUCACACAUGCACCUGGAACAAAAUUUAAACAGUACAGGAGGUGGAUGAAGACCAGCAGAGCCUUCGCUCACCCCAUGCCCUAGCUCAAAUUCCGCUGGGAACCUCAGUGAGACGCUGAGCUUUCUAAGAUGCUAACUCGUCUGCUUCUGGACCAGCACUACCACCACCACCAGGAGGACUUUCAACCAGUAUUUGUGUGGCUCUUUUGAUUUUUACAUGUCUAAUAAAAAAAUAGGCCCGAAAUGUGGAUGUUAUUUCAGGACCAUUUCCCCAGGAUGCUUUGCACAUCUUUCCUUGUAAACCCUCCGAGUCCCUCUGUCUCAGGCCUGUGCCUGCACACCCUCCGAGUCCCUCUGUCUCAGGCCUGUGCCUGCACACCCUCCGAGUCCCUCUGUCUCAGGCCUGUGCCUGCACACCCUCCGAGUCCCUCUGUCUCAGGCCUGUGCCUGCACACCCUCCGAGUCCCUCUGUCUCAGGCCUGUGCCUGCACACCCUCCGAGUCCCUCUGUCUCAGGCCUGUGCCUGCACGCCCUCUGAGUCCCUCUGUCUCAGGCCUGUGCCUGCACACCCUCUGAUCCCUCUGUCUUAGGUCUGUUCCACACACAGGGUGUGCUGCAUUUCGCGUUGUCAUUCAUCCUGACAGUCUCUUUUUUUCAUAGGUGAGCUGAGCUGACGUAUGGGCAUUUACUGAUACAAAGUCACAGUUGGUCUUAGUUUUGUUGUCUUAUUUCAUGUUACAGUUCUG
ensembl:lncRNA